rnacentral:tRNA from 1 species
UCCCUGUUGGCUCAAAUGGUAGAGCGUCUGCCUGCAAUGCAGAAGACCCAGGUUCGACCCCUGGGUCAGGAA